rnacentral:rRNA from 1 species
CCUACGGGGGGCAGCAGUGGGGAAUAUUGCACAAUGGGGGAAACCCUGAUGCAGCGACGCCGCGUGAGUGAAGAAGUAUUUCGUUAUGUAAAGCUCUAUCAGCAGGGAAGAAAAUGACGGUACCUGAGUAAGAAGCCCCGGCUAACUACGUGCCAGCAGCCGCGGUAAUACGUAGGGGGCAAGCGUUAUCCGGAUUUACUGGGUGUAAAGGGAGCGUAGGCGGGAGUGCAAGUCUGGGGUGAAAGGCGGGGGCUCAACCCUCGGACUGCACUGGAAACUGUACGGCUGGAGUGCGGGAGAGGUAAGUGGAAUUCGUGGUGUAGCGGUGAAAUGCGUAGAUAUUAGGAGGAACACCAGUGGCGAAGGCGGCUUGCUGGACUAUAACUGACGUUGAGGCGCGAAAGCGUGGGGAGCAAACAGGAUUAGAUACCCGUGUAGUC